rnacentral:rRNA from 1 species
GCAGGCUGCAACUCGCCUGCAUGAAGUUGGAAUUGCUAGUAAUCGCGAAUCAGAAUGUCGCGGUGAAUACGUUCCCGGGCCCUUGUACACACCGCCCGUCACACCAUGAGAGUCGAUAACACCCGAAGCCUGUGAGCUAACCGCAAGGAGGCAGCAGUCGAAGGUGGGGUUGAUGAUUGGGGUGAAGUCGUAACAAGGUACC